GGGCCUGUGGUGUAAUGGAUAGCACAAUCGGCUUCGGACCGGUUAAUUUGGGCAACAUAAAGGUGUCCAAAAUCGAUAUCGGGGUUCGAAUCCCUGCAGGCUCA
rfam:Candidatus Staskawiczbacteria bacterium RIFCSPHIGHO2_01_FTLL_41_41 rifcsphigho2_01_scaffold_67819, whole genome shotgun sequence.